GCCCCCGGGGUCAGUGCUCGGGACCACCAUCCCCACCCGGCCAGGAGGCCAGCCGGCCCUCGGCCCGCCUUGUCGGUCCCCGCCAUCCAGAGACCUCCCGCCGUUCCCCCGCAGUGCCGCCGAAAGCUCCAGUUGGGGCAGCCUCAGGAGUCCAGGCGCAGCGAGGGGACCCCCACCCCACCCCCGGGCGCUCUCGGCCUGACUCCCUUCUCCCCAACCUCCAAAACAGGUUACCUUUUCCACGCUCUCCAGACCACGCUUUGGACUUUUUCACUUUUAUUUAAGAGUCCACCCGGGGAAGGAGGAAAAAAAAUCCAGAGGAGAUCCGAGUCAAUUGGAAAGAAAAAAAAAUUCAAAAGGGUGUCCACAGCGGCGAAAAAGCCCAGACUCUGCCGACCUUCAAACGACAACAGGGCUUUCAGGAGGGUGCGGGGAGACCGCUUCCCACCCAGACCUGGCCAGAAACCCGGCACCCCAGCCACACUGCCCCUCUUUCAGGCAGAAGGGAUUUCAACUCCACCACCGGGAGGCCCCCUUCCUGGUCCUGGGCAAACACUGAGAUUAAACAUCUCUUACCCGCACCAAGGCUCCAGGACCUGGCCUCCCCAAAGUGACUAUAAAACUCUUUUAGACCUCGGGAGGGGGUGGGGAUGGGGGGGUUGCUACCCUGUCUCAACAAAUUUCCCUUUAGAGAAAUGGGACGAGGGCCGAACGCAAAAGUGGCGCUUCCUGAGAGUCGCACCCCAUCGCGGUGGCCACGUGCCGGCAGACGGUCCCACACUUCGGUGGCAUUCGCGGACGCAGGAGGGAGCUCGGCGCGGGCACGCAGGUGGGGGUGGGGGGGGCUCCUCGGGGGCGGAGUUUCAGGGAGCAGGGGGCGGGGCCGGGACCUGACGGAUGGGUUUGCAGAAGCGCGGUGGGCCCCUCCUCCUCGGAACUAGGGAAGGCUCCGACAGUCCCGGCUCCCGGCUGCUACCCGGAAGGAGGGAGGUCGCGCCGAGUCCCUACCCCGGGCACCCUCGGCCCCGCCCCGCCGGCGGAUUUUCAUUUAAACGUGUAACCCAGAUGUUCCGGCCUCGGUUUGUUUACAUUCUUGGGAACUGUUGUGAGUGGGAAAAAAAAAAAAGUUCUAUGUGUUGUCAAAUACAGCAAUCUGCUUUUUGGAGGGGCGGGUGGGGCCGAAGAAGGUGGGCUUGAGGACCGACGGGGUGUCGAACCGGUGGGAGAAGUGCGUCGCAUUCACACACUCGCGCACACACGCCCACAGGCUCACAUGCCCACUCCCAAGUACACGCAGGCCCUUAACUUGAAACCUACUGAGAGCCCGUGGCUCUAGCGCAAGACCCACUGGGAUCGGACACUGGCUCUCGGUUCCCUGCCCAGCCUUCACCAGGCUUACCCACUUCCAGGCUUCCAAACAGUACCGGCCCGAGAGCGUGCCUCCUCAACCAAGGGUUCCCGAGGGUCUGUGCCACCCUCAUCUGGUUGGGAGCUCCCCGGGCUCCAGAUCCACCCGCUGACCCGGGAAAGGGGAUGGAGGGACCACAGGCCUGGGUGGCAGAGCGGCGGCGUGGGGUGGGGGUGGGGGGGCAUUACCUGUUUAGAGACGCUGUCAUGUCUUACCUUGACGUAAGACGAUGUGUCUGGGACUGUCUGAAACAUCCUCGGUUGGCGAGGAAGGGUCGGGAAGGCCCAAGAACCAAUCUGGGUGGGAGAAACCUCAGUCACCGACAGUACCACAUGGGUGAGACGGUGGGGGGGGGGAGUCGGGGUGGGGGUAGGUGAUGAAGGAGGAACGCAAAGGGAGAGGACGCGAGAGUUGGGAGGCUCGAAUCCACCUGGGCCAGCAAGGGAGGAUCUGAAAGGUUGGGUACUGGGCAUCUGCCCUGCGCCUCUGCCUCCAGACCUCGGGCUAUGAGAUGGUGAAGGGUGAGAGACAGCUGACGCCACUGGGUCCCUUUCCCACAGCCCCUUAACCCUCCCCUACCCACAAUCGGAGACACCCAUUUCCCCCGGGCCUGGGUGGCUUCACACCUGCCGACACCGGGGCCGGGGCCGUCGGAGCCAGAAGAGAGAACGCUGCCGGGAUAGAGGUAGGUCUCCCCACGGGUGCAGCCCAAGACCCCAGGGAACAGAUAUUUAUGGAGCUGCCAAGCUCCAUCCCUCAGGGCACAGAUUUUCUGCCUGGUUCCCCUAGGAUCCUACGGCUCCUCCAGUGUCCAGCUGCCCCCCUCUUCCCUGUUACUGGCUUGGGGAGGAAGACUUGGGCAGAAGCUUCUGGAGGGCUAGGGAGGCCCUUUCACCGAGCCCCUGCUUCUUAAAGAAAACAGUUUUACGGCAGAGACAAAGACAAUGAAUGACGCAGCCUUAUUUCUAGUGGCAGAGGAGAUGGUGUCUGAGUCUGAAAAUUUGGACUGGCGGGUGCAAAAACCACCCUAGGAUGCCAGGUGCCUCUGCGUGAGUCUCUCCCUGCCUUGCCAAGUCUAGCGGCUGUCUCUCCCCUCUCCCCUCCCUUCUCUUAAACCAUCUUUAACGUGGCAAUGUGCAGCUUCUCCGGCAGCCAAUGUGUUUCUGAUAAAGCACUUUUUCUCUCCACUAACAAAUUCCAGCUUUUUGGCUCCUGAAGCCACAACACACAUACACGAGUUCAGGGACCAGGUAUGUUCCUUUGGACUCCUAGAUUCCCAUUCCCUGCCUCUUUCCCGGGGUCCUUGCUGAGAGUGUCCCCCAUUUUCUUUGAAAGUUGGAGUGAAUUUUGCAAGGGAAGUGAGAGGGGAGGGGGGUAAAGAGGAGAGAAAAGAAAGCUCCCCGGAUAGAAUGAGAGAAAGAAAAAGUCCUAGAAAGCCUCCCAUUUCUCAGCUGCAACUGGAGCACGCAGCUGUGGGCGAGAGAGGCACCACUCCCCGCCCCCUGCAUUCCCUCAGGGAUCCCGCACAGGCGAACACUCACCUUAGACACGCUUUCCUGUUCAGCCAGCAGGAGCGGAACUCCAGCAACUCCAGGAUGUUCGAGGUCUGAGUGCCAGUUCUCUGCGCCAAGAGUCCCCCGAUCCUCGGUGCCCAAUUAAACCUGCUGGCUGCCGGGGAUCAAAAUGUGCCUUUCUCUGCAGCGUAUCCACCCAGCCAGCCUCAGUCCCUGCUUGAGCUGGGGGGUGGGGGGGUAUAGAAAGGACUCCUUGGUCUGUGUGCCCUGCAGCCCUGCAGCUUUCCUCCCUGUCGCCUCUCUUCGUCCCACUCCCUCUUCCUCUCUCUUUUCCCGUCUUUUAAUUUGAUUUCCGUUUUCUUAUCAAUAUUUCAACUGCUGUCUGAUGAAUUGUUCUAAUAGACAGC
ensembl:lncRNA